UACGUAGGGACCGAGCGUUGUCCGGAUUCAUUGGGCGUAAAGAGCUCGUAGGCGGCCACUCAAGUCGAAUGUGAAACCUCGAGGCUUAACCUCGAGCCUGCAUUCGAUACUGGGCGGCUAGAGUCUGGUAGGGGGAUCUGGAAUUCCUGGUGUAGCAGUGGAAUGCGCAGAUAUCAGGAGGAACACCGGUGGCGAAGGCGGGAUCCUGGGCCAGUACUGACGCUGAGGAGCGAAAGCGUGGGGAGCAAACGGG
rnacentral:rRNA from 1 species